rnacentral:rRNA from 1 species
CAGUAGCCGCGGUAAUACGUAGGUGGCAAGCGUUGUCCGGAAUUAUUGGGCGUAAAGGGCUCGCAGGCGGUCAAUUAAGUCUGAUGUGAAAGCCCCCGGCUCAACCGGGGAGGGUCAUUGGAAACUGGUUGACUUGAGUGCAGAAGAGGAGAGUGUAAUUCCAUGUGUAGCGGUGAAAUGCGUAGAUAUAUGGAGGAACACCAGUGGCGAAGGCGACUCUCUGGUCUGUAACUGGCGCUGAGGCUCGAAAGCGUGGGUAGCAAACAGGAUUAGAUACCCGUGUAGUCCCUGUCUCUUAUAC